GAAGAACAAGAUAGGGAGUAUGCUGAAAGUCUGCGUAGUGACCAGGAAAAGGAAAUGAUCAAACAGCGUGAAGCCAUAGAGGAACUGCACAGUCACCGUAUACGGCAUGCACUCAAGGCUUUGGUUGAGCCAGAACCAGAUGAGUCAGUAUACAAUGGAGUUUGUGUCAAGUUGCUACUUCCGG